rnacentral:rRNA from 1 species
UACGGGGGGGCAAGCGUUGUUCGGAAUUACUGGGCGUAAAGGGCUCGUAGGCGGCCAACUAAGUCGGAUGUGAAAUCCCCAGGCUCAACUUGGGAACUGCAUCCGAUACUGGAUGGCUUGAAUUCGGGAGAGGUGAGUGGAACUGCGAGUGUAGAGGUGAAAUUCGUAGAUAUUCGCAAGAACACCAGUGGCGAAGGCGGCUCACUGGCCCGGUACUGACGCUGAGGUGCGAAAGCGUGGGGAGCAAACAGG